UGGGGAAUAUUGCACAAUGGGCGCAAGCCUGAUGCAGCCAUGCCGCGUGUGUGAAGAAGGCCUUCGGGUUGUAAAGCACUUUCAGCGGGGAGGAAGGCGAUAAGGUUAAUAACCUUGUCGAUUGACGUUACCCGCAGAAGAAGCACCGGCUAACUCCGUGCCAGCAGCCGCGGUAAUACGGAGGGUGCAAGCGUUAAUCGGAAUUACUGGGCGUAAAGCGCACGCAGGCGGUCUGUCAAGUCGGAUGUGAAAUCCCCGGGCUUAACCUGGGAACUGGAUUUGAAACUGGGAGGGUAGAGUCUUGGAGAGGGGGGUAGAAUUCCAGGUGUAGCGGUGAAAUGCGUAGAGAUCUGGAGGAAUACCGGUGGCGAAGGCGGCCCCCUGGACAAAGACUGACGCUCAGGUGCGAAAGCGUGGGGAGCAAACAGG
rnacentral:rRNA from 1 species